UACGUAGGGUCCGAGCGUUGUCCGGAAUUAUUGGGCGUAAAGAGCUCGUAGGCGGUUUGUCGCGUCUGCUGUGAAAUCCCGAGGCUCAACCUCGGGCCUGCAGUGGGUACGGGCAGACUAGAGUGCGGUAGGGGAGACUGGAAUUCCUGGUGUAGCGGUGAAAUGCGCAGAUAUCAGGAGGAACACCGGGGGGGGAGGCGGGUUUCUGGGGCGGUACUGGACGUGAAGAGGGGAAGCCUGGGGAGCGAACAGG
rnacentral:rRNA from 1 species